GACGAACGCUGGCGGCGUGCUUAACACAUGCAAGUCGAACGGAAAGGCCCUGCUUUUGUGGGGUGCUCGAGUGGAGAACGGGUGAGUAACACGUGAGUAACCUGCCCUUGACUUUGGGAUAACUUCAGGAAACUGGGGCUAAUACCGGAUAGGAGCUCCUGCUGCAUGGUGGGGGUUGGACAGUUUCGGCGGUUGGGGAUGGACUCGCGGCUUAUCAGCUUGUUGGUGGGGUAGUGGCUUACCAAGGCUUUGACGGGUAGCAGGCCUGAGAGGGUGACCGGCCACAUUGGGACUGAGAUACGGCCCAGACUCCUACGGGAGGCAGCAGUGGGGAAUAUUGCACAAUGGGCGGAAGCCUGAUGCAGCAACGCCGCGUGCGGGAUGACGGCCUUCGGGUUGUAAACCGCUUUCGCCUGUGACGAAGCGUGAGUGACGGUAAUGGGUAAAGAAGCACCGGCUAACUACGUG
rnacentral:rRNA from 1 species